AUGAACAAAGCUAGUGGAGGUGAAGGAAUUCCAGUUGAGCUGUUUCAAAUUCUGAAAGAUGAUGUUGUGAAAGUGCUGCACUCAAUAUGCCAGCAAAUUUGGAAAAUUCAGCAGUGGCCACAGGACUGGAAAAGGUCAGUUUUCAUUCCAAUCCCAAAGAAAGGCAAUGCCAAAGAAUGCUCAAACUACCUCACAAUCGCACUCAUCUCACAUGCUAGUAAAGUAAUGCUCAAAAUUCUCCAAGCCAGGCUUCAGAAAUAUGUGAACCAUGAACUCCCUGAUGUUCAAGCUGGUUUUAGAAAAGGCAGAGGAACCAGAGAUCAAAUUGCCAACAUCCACUGGAUCAUGGAAAAAGCAAGAGAGUUCCAGAAAAACAUCUAUUUCUGCUUUAUUGACUAUGCCAAAGCCCUUGACUGUGUGGAUCACAAUAAACUGUGGAAAAUUCUGAAAGAGAUGGGAAUACCAGACCACCUGACCUGCCUCUUGAGAAAUCUGUAUGCAGGUCAGGAAGCAACAGUUAGAACUGGACAUGGAAAAACAGACUGGUUCCAAAUAGGAAAAGGAGUACGUCAAGGCUGUAUAUUGUCACCCUGCCUAUUUAACUUAUAUGCAGAGUACAUCAUGAGACACGCUGGACUGGAAGAAACACAAGCUGGAAUCGAGAUUGCCGGGAGAAAUAUCAAUAACCUCAGAUAUGCAGAUGACACCACCCUUAUGGCAGGAAGUGAAGAGGAGCUAAAAAGCCUCUUGAUGAAAGUGAAAGAGGAGAGCGAAAGAGUUGGCUUAAAGCUCAACGUUCAGAAAACGAAGAUCAUGGCAUCUGGUCCCAUCACUUCAUGGCAAAUAGAUGGCGAAACAGGGGAAACAGUGUCAGACUUUAUUUUGGGGGCCUCCAAAAUCACUGCAGAUGGUGACUGCAGCCAUGAAAUUAAAAGAUGCUUACUCCUUGGAAGAAAAGUUGUGACCAACCUACAUAGUAUAUUCAAAAGCAGAGACAUUACUUUGCUGACUAAGGUCCAUUUAGUCAAAGCUAUGGUUUUUCCUGCAGUCAUGCAUGGAUGUGAGAGUUGGACUGUGAAGAAGGCUGAGCGCCGAAGAAUUAAUUCUUUUGAACUGUGGUGUUGGUGA
rnacentral:lncRNA from 1 species